GCUCGGGUGGUGGAAUGGUAGACACGAAGGACUUAAAAUCCUUUGGCCCUUAUCGGCUGUGCGGGUUCAAGUCCCGCUCCGGGUACCA
rnacentral:tRNA from 1 species